GGGUCUCCGCGCUUGUCCCGCCGGCCCCGGCCUCGCCGCCCCGCGCAGUGCCCAGCCCGGCCCUGCCGACCCGCUUCUACCGCUGGCUCCGCGCCCUUCCCCGAGGGCUGGAUGAUGGGCUCUUUCGCCCUGCAAACGGUGGACACCGAGCUGACCGCGGACUCGGUGGAGUGGUGCCCGCUGCAAGGCUGCAGGCACCUGCUGGCGUGCGGGACCUACCAGCUGCGGCGGCCGGAGGACCGGCCUGCCGGCCCCCAGAACAAGGUGUCACAUCCCGGUGGGUGGACAUGCCCUCUUGGGCUUGGCAGAUGCCAGUGGAUCCAUACAACUGCUCCGCCUGGUGGAAUAUGAGAAGAGCCACGUGCUGGAGCCAUUGUCCAGCCUUGCCCUGGAGGAGCAGUGUCUGGCUUUGUCCCUAGAUUGGUCCACUGGGAAAACUGGAAGGGCCGGGGACCAGCCCUUGAAGAUCAUCAGCAGUGACUCCACAGGGCAGCUUCACCUCCUGAUGGUGAAUGAGACGGGGCCCAGGCUGCAGAAAGUGGCCUCAUGGCAGGCACAUCAAUUCGAGGCCUGGAUUGCUGCUUUCAAUUACUGGCAUACAGAAAUUGUGUAUUCAGGGGGCGACGAUGGCCUUCUGAGGGGCUGGGACACCAGGGUACCCGGCAAAUUUCUCUUCACUAGCAAAAGACACACCAUGGGCGUGUGCAGCAUCCAGAGCAGCCCCCAUCGGGAGCACAUCCUGGCCACGGG
rnacentral:sRNA from 1 species